GGGCCAACCCGGCAGCGUCGGCAUGAAGGGCGAAAGCGGCGACUUCGGCCCUCAGGGACCCCGAGGACCGCAGGGGCUGAGCGGACCGCCAGGAAAACCCGGAAGGAGGGGUCGGCCGGGAGCGGACGGAGCGCGGGGGCUGCCUGGAGAUCCUGGUGUGAAGGUAUG